CCUCCCGCAUCCUCUUCCUCUCCCUCUCUUGAUCUUCUCUGGAAACCUAACCACGCAUCUGCACGCUCCCUGCCGCGUCGUUGCCCCCGCUCGCCCUCGUGCCUUCCCCUCCUCCCUGCCCGCGCCGUUGCUCCCGCUCAUCCUCGCGCCCUUGCAACUUCCCCUUCUCCCCGCCCUCUCCCUGCUCAGCCGGAGGAGCGCGGCUCACCGUCGGAGCGUGGCUCGCCGCCGAUGCUCACGAGAGAGAUCAUCGCCCCCGGUCAACUCUGGCCGCCUCCACCACCACCCACUGGCAGGAGGCCCACCACUCCUCCUUCUCCUCCACCACGGGCAUGUUCCUCACCAAGAGCGGGAGCGUCUCUGCCUGGAGGCGGCGCCAUCGGCUGGAGGAGCGGCGGCUGGGUAUCCGACUCUCUGCUUUGUUCGACAAGGAGCAUGUCGCCGUCACCUUGGGUGCAGCCGUCCGGUGGAAGGCGCUCUCCCUUUUUCAGAAGGCGAGGAGGAUCGGCGGAUCCAGCCCCCCUCCUCUCCAGCUCGGUAGAGACAAAAGAGGAGGUCACCGGGAGAUGACGGAAGAUCAAAGGAGGAUGGUCAAUCGACAUAUGCGACAAAGAUCCUGUUGUGCACAAGCAUACUCCAUACAUUGUUAUCCUCGUGAGGCUUGCAGAAAAAUGGGCAGAUGCGCGUGAUGGUCAGUGACCUUCGGCCUGGAAAGAGAAAGGGGAAUUUAAGCCGUAUGCUUAAACCGCAAGUCAUCCAAGAAGUGGUCCGGUUUUACACAGUGCUCCUAAUAGUACAUUAAAAGCAAAAACAGUGAACUCCCUCAAAAUGAUUUGGCCCUUGCCUCUCAAUAUGGUUCCCGGUGCAUAAUGGACUACCAAACAAUGUUAAGAAGCCAUAGUGGCUCGGGAAGGAGUGUGAUUGUGCUAGCAGAGUAAAAGACCAUAAUGGCAAUGUCGCUCUGACUGCUCCUGGACUUCCAUGGUGGCGCUGGAAGAUUUAGCCUGCCGCUUUGCCUGCGCUUCGCCUGAUCACCGUUCAUCCAGAUAUGAUGGCAAGAAAUAAGGUUCUUGUCGGUGUCAAAACCGGUGGAUCUCGGGUAGGGGGUCCCGAACUGCGCGUCUAAGGCGGAUGGUAACAGGAGGUGGGGGAUACGAUGUUUACCCAGGUUUGGGCCCUCUCAAUGGAGGUUCAAAAUUGAACUUGUUUUGCUAUAAAUGGCCUCCCGCGGUUGUAUACAAAGCUGAAGUAGGUACCAUCUCCAUGAAAGUACUUGCAAAGGUGUGUUGGAGCUGAACUAAGGAAGUUGUCAAUGCUCAAGCCAUGUGCAAGAAGAGUGAACCAGAAAACUAAGAAGAUGUUUAUUUUUUAUUGUUUAUCCUUAGGUUGUAUUUGACUAUUUAUUGUGGCGAAUUGGCCGAGUUUUCUAAUUGGAGUCUCAUUGAGGAAUGUUGAAGGGUUUAGAUUUAUAUUUAAGGUCUACCAGUAAUAUAGGAAGCAAGUUGUGGUGUGUGUGCCAGUUAUCUUAUGAACAAGUGAGACCACCAUUAAUUUAAAUCUCUCAUAUACUUCGUUAAGU